CAUCGCUCCUGCAGCCCAUCCGUAAAACUAUCACAUCACAUUGAUCAUCAGCCAUGGCAACCACGGCACUUGCGGCCCAUCGGUGCAGUUACGAGGACUAUGAGGCUACGGUCGACUGGUUGCGCUCCCAGACAGAGCAGCGUCCUAAAGUGGCCAUCAUCUGUGGCUCUGGGCUGGGCGGACUGGCAGAGAAGCUGGAGAACAGGGUCGUCUUCCCCUACAGAGACAUCCCCAACUUCCCCCAAACCACCGUGGUGGGCCAUCAGGGACAACUGGUGUUUGGGACGCUGGAGGGCCACCAGUGUGUCUGCAUGCAGGGGCGCUUCCACACCUAUGAAGGCUAUGAUGUAUACCAGGUGACGUACCCCGUGCGUGUGUUCUCCCUGCUGGGCGUGAGGACGCUGGUGGUGACCAACGCGGCCGGGGGCCUCAACAGCAGCUUCAGCGUGGGCGACAUCAUGCUGAUCAAGGACCACAUCAACAUGCCGGGCCUGGUGGGGAACAACCCACUGUGUGGCCCCAACGACGACAGGUUUGGUGAGCGCUUCCCUUGUAUGUCUGACGCUUACGACCGUGACCUGCUGGCCUUGGCCCAGCAGACGGCCGAGGAGCAGGGCAUCGGGGCCGUCGUGCAUCAGGGGGUCUACUGCAUGGUGGGCGGCCCCACCUUCGAGAGCAUCGCCGAGGGGAGGGCUCUGCGGACCCUGGGAGCCGACGCAGUGGGAAUGAGCACAGCGCUGGAGGUGGUGGUGGCCCGCCACUGUGGCCUGCGUGUCCUGGGCUUCUCGCUCAUCACCAAUAUGGUGGUGACCGACUACGACAGCACGCUGAAGGCCAGCCACGACGAGGUGCUGGUCGCCGGCAACAAUCGCGCCCAGGACCUCCAAGGACUUGUCCGAAGAAUCCUAGCCCAGAUGUCUGUGGACCCUGAGGACCUGUGAUCUUGAGACGCUGCGGUCAAGUCGGCGGGAAAAGGCUAGAAUGCUUAACGUUCACGUUGACCCCGGGUCGAGUGAAUGCACCUUAACCCUUGACCCCAGUUUGGAUUCAGCCGGCAGACUGGUUAGUUAAGGUUUUAGUUUUGGUUCAGGUGUUAUUAAGGAUGUUAGUUUUAGGGUUUGAUAAUCACUUCUACUUAGGAAAAUGCUUUUAAGUGUAGGGUAAAUGCGCAAUAAUGGGGUAUGUAUUAAUAAUGUAGCACCGUCAGAAUUGUAGUAAAUAUUAUCAUAAGCAGUCCGAACAAGUGAAGCAGAAAACAAACGUAGUUACUUUAACUGAUAAUCAAAGAAUAAUCAGGGAAUUUAUUAAUAUAAAAUAAUAUAUAAAUAUACAUAUAUAUUUAUCAAAGUUAUAUUUAUCGAAGAGUUAUCUAUUCGGAUAAAUGACCUAUGAAGCCGUUUCUAUUUAAUAAUGUCCACUGAUAUAUAAGCUCCAGGUGAGUUGCAGCAGCUGCUGUAUUGGAUGUGGAGGCUUCCCAGUCCUCAGAGCUUUUCCAUGGGGAAGGAAGAUGAGGGGACACCCCAAACACUGUCUUGUUGAAAGGAUUAUCAGAAGCUCCAUCUGAUGGAUCAUUCAUUGUGCCUAAAAAUAGCUGCACAGCUGGCACGAUCACACAAUUUAGAAUGCAUAGACUGAAGUCUUAUAUGAAUCUGCUAUGGCAGGGAUUUUGUUAUUUGACGUUUGCAAAACUGUUAUUGGAGCCAGAAUCAUCGUACCUGAUGAGGAGUUUUGAAUCUCUCCAGGUGUGGUGUUGCGCUCACCGGCCAGGUCCUCUCUGUCUGACAUCUAAUGUCAGACAGACAUCCAAUAUACUGAAGAGACCUAGACACCAGGGUGAGGAAGUAACCUCUCAGGCACUUUGCACGAGGCUUAAAGAUGGAUGCUCACACAAACCCUCAACAGAUAUUUGAAACUCGGUAACUGAAUAGCACAUAUCACAUACGUUUACAUGUAGGAUAAUGCUUUACCUCCCUCAGGUUUAGACCAAUGGUAUCCUCAUGAAGAAAUAACAGCGGUACCACACUGUUAAUGCUCACUCAGGAAAAGCUAUUUUACUCUUUGUUUUACAAUUACUUAUUUGAUUAUGAGGAAAUUACAGAUUCUGAAUCCUGAAAAAUGUUUGAUUAAAAGGGUUUUAAUAUAAGCAUUGAACAAGACGCACUAAUAGAAGAGAAUCUCUUUUUCUCUAUCUAAUCUAUCUUCAAAAUGUAUUUUACGUAGAAAAUAUAACAAUAAAAAAAGGGUG